rnacentral:rRNA from 1 species
CCUACGGGAGGCAGCAGUGAGGAAUAUUGGUCAAUGGGCUUACGCCUGAACCAGCCAAGUCGCGUGAGGGAAGACGGUCCUAUGGAUUGUAAACCUCUUUUGUCGGGGAGCAAAAGACGCCACGCGUGGCGUUCCGAGAGUACCCGAAGAAAAAGCAUCGGCUAACUCCGUGCCAGCAGCCGCGGUAAUACGGAGGAUGCGAGCGUUAUCCGGAUUUAUUGGGUUUAAAGGGUGCGCAGGCGGAAGAUCAAGUCAGCGGUAAAAUUGAGAGGCUCAACCUCUUCGAGCCGUUGAAACUGGUGUUCUUGAGUGAGUGAGAAGUAUGCGGAAUGCGUGGUGUAGCGGUGAAAUGCAUAGAUAUCACGCAGAACUCCGAUUGCGAAGGCAGCAUACCGGCGCUCAACUGACGCUCAUGCACGAAAGUGUGGGUAUCGAACAGGUUUAGAUACCCUUGUAGUC